AAUGUAACACCUUUAUAAAACAGAAUUACAUAAAAGUACUGUUCUUUUGGCAUACAUAAUAUAAAAAUUUUGAUCCGUUCGCACAUAUUUUUUAAAAUAGGAGAUCGUAAAUUUUUUGACAUACGGAAAGAAAAAGGGCGAAGGCUAAUAUUAACUGUAGGGAGAUAUUUAGUUGCUUUUUACUAAGAAAUUUUUUUUUGAUGUGUUUGUGUCUUUCUCAUUCUUAUUGAAGCCUUAGCUGUCUCUAUAUUUUGUACCUAAACUUAUUUUCUUAUUGGAUGAAACAGAUAGCAUGCUAUCUUUUUCUUAGAAAAAAAGAAAAACCAUUAUACAAUUUCAAAAAUUGUCACUCUUAAACACAAAAAUUUCUAUGCGUGAAAGUACAAAAAAGUCGAACUUCUAAUUUAUAUAUAAAUUAAUCAGAACAUCAGCGAUUUUUAAAAAUUCUUCUCCGUGAUAGUUUGAGAGUAAAAUUCUCCGCCCAAUUUCGCUAUCAAUUAUCUCUUUCCUACUCUUUUUUUCUACAUUAUUUUUCAAUAAUGAACUUGAUUUUUGAAGUUUAUGUCGGGAGACUUGCUAUAACAUAUUCUUCUUUGU
rnacentral:lncRNA from 1 species